CCCCUCGGGGCUUCCCUCCGCUCCACUCUCGCCCUCUGCAUCUCUGCUUCUCUAGCCUGCUGCGGAGACUGGGGCUGGAGGCUUCUCUGUGACCAGCUAUCCUCCAGGCCUUUUUCACAGGCUGGUCCUAAAAGUGGGAGACUGAUGGUGGUUAUGUGACUAUGACACGGCCCAUGAAGAUUCAGGCCCUGCUGCUUCUUGGUGCUCCCUGCUGAGCACAUCCAAAGGAACUUUCCAGGAAGGAUCUGUGGGAGCCGGACUACCUUAGACCUGGCCUGUCCCCAACUCCAUCACAGCUGGCCCAGAAGCUGCUCCUCUCUCUCCCUGCCAAAACCCAGAGGACUCUUCUGUAAGAAAGUGGACACCCUUGCCGGGGGAUGCUGGGAUGCAAAGCGCGGCUCUGCAUCAGCAUUCCUGGGUCCCGUCCCUGUCAAGAUUCCCUUGCCCAUAGCUAACAGGAAAGCAAACUGCACAGCGCUGCUCUAGGGAGAGUCAUGUCCUGACCUCACUUUGUUUGCAGGACUGGCCAAGUGCAAGUCCCCGUGGGAUGGAAGAGGAAAGGGGGCUCAGGGAGGCAGAGCUCCUGCUCCAGGCUCAGAGGGAGUCAAGACAGAGCCUGGCGCCCUCACUCUGUGACCCCAUGCCAGGGCUCCCUGCCCAAAGGUAAAGAACCUUGGAUGAGGUCCAGGUUCAUUAAUCCCUGGCCAGCAUGACUCUGGGCAGGGAUCUUAGUCAGGGAGAUUAUGGGGGCCAGGUUAGAGGAGGUAUGGGGACCUGGGCCAGCACAAGGGGAAAACCUAACUCUGGGGUGGGGUCAUAAAGCUUGGGUGAGGUGGGAGAGUAGGGGCAGUGAUUAGAGGGGCAGGAAGGGACCCUCCCAGGAAGGAGCUUGACCGCCAGUGCCAAUGUUUAGAUUUUAUCAUGAAGGCCUCGGGAGGCCCUGGACAGCUCUAAGCAAGAGGAGCUAUGGGAUGGAAGGUCGGAUCCCAUCUGGAAAUCUUAUUCUGGAUCAGCGAGGGGUGAGCCGAGGGAGGGACCCCAGCACCCAGACCUCUGUCUUGCAGGGCUGGAGUGACUGUCAACAAGCUAACCAGUGAGACAGGCGCGAGCCCACACUCAGGGACUUGGGCUUCCCUGGAAGCCUCAUCCACUCCCCAUCUCACCCAAGCUUUCCUGCAAGCCUGGAACGCCUCAUUUCACCAGGCCUCUUCCUCCUGAAUACCCCACGCGUCCUUAAGCGCAUACACCAACUUUCACGCAAAGCAGAAUCAUGUGGCAUUCGGAACUUAGUGUACGUGUGAAAUGUAAAAGUCCUGAACUGCACCAAAUAUCAGCUUUCACACACGCAGCAACCAUUUCUCUGCAGCCCAUCACCCAAGGACCAAAUCUCACACUCAACUUGACAGGUGUGGAAACAGCUCAUGACUGGGUCGUACCUGGCUCCCCGGGGACAGGACAGCAGUGGCUGCCAGGCUGCUGGUGGGCAGUUCAGGGCCAGCAGAUCCCACUCCACCUCCCCUCCAAGCCCCCACGGGGAUGUGGCCCCCUGGCCUUUAUUCCCUCAUUGCUUGAAAGCUGGUUGGCAGUUUGUUCUCAGCCUGGCUUUGAGUCUGGGGACCCCAGGACAGGACUGGUCCCUGCUUUCCUGGAGCAAGUGUGGCUUGGAAACAGCCGUAAAGAUGCCCAGCACCAGG
rnacentral:lncRNA from 1 species